AGGGAUUGCCAUGGAAAGCAUAACUGUGUAUCAGACAGUUGCACACCCAGGAAUCCAAGGGAACCUGAACAGCUACUAUUCCCAGCAGGGGGUUCCAGCCAGCAUCACAUUUUUUAGUCCCUCUGGCCUCACAUACAGUCUCAAGCACAUUCAGGAGUUAUCUGGUGACAAUAUCGAUCAAAUUAAGAUGAGGAGAUGGAGGCCAGAGAGGAUGGGCCACGGGCCAAGGUCAUUGUCCUGUGGAGCUGGGAUUUAAAUCCCAACCCUGUGCCCACAGAGCCCUGACCUUGAUGGCUCUACUUUCUUGGGGAUUCAGUCACUGCCCCUGCCACACCAUCCUCCCCUUGAUCAGACCCAGGGCCCCCAACACCCGAAGAAGAACUGUCUGCAGCUAGAGCCUCUGAGGAAGGACUGCACUGACACAGCCGUGAUGUUUGCAGCCAUCGGCCCCACUACGGCUCGCGCGCUGGCCGCCCAGGGCCUUCCUGUAAGCUGCACUGCAGAGAGCCCCACGCCACAAGCCCUGGCCACUGGCAUCAGGAAGGCUCUCCAGCCCCAUGGCUGCUGCUGAGUCAGCCACCUAGCGCUGGCCCCAUGCAGCCUCCCUGGGCUGGGCUGGCUCUGGAUGGAGCCAGGCAUCGGCAAGGGCUCUCGGGAGCUGCUGCCGUCAGACUCCUGCCUCAAGCCUGAGUGGAAGCACCUGAGGACCGGGGAUCGGGACCUGACCUGGGGCUGGCCUCAGGCCCACGUGCACGUGACUGCCCUCUGUGGAAGCCAGCUUAAACCCUAGCCCUGUGAGAGCUUCCUGUGCCCAGCAGGAAGGAAGUCAAAUAAACCACACUGACUACCUGUGCUUA
rnacentral:lncRNA from 1 species